rnacentral:rRNA from 1 species
CCUACGGGAGGCAGCAGUGAGGAAUAUUGGUCAAUGGCCGAAAGGCUGAACCAGCCAAGUCGCGUGAAGGACGAAGGUUCCAAGCAUUGUAAACUUCUUUUGUCAGGGGAUAAAAUCAGGCACGUGAGCCUUACUGUGUGUACUUUAUGAAUAAGCAUCGGCUAACUCCGUGCCAGCAGCCGCGGUAAUACGGAGGAUGCGAGCGUUAUCCGGAUUUAUUGGGUUUAAAGGGUGCGUAGAGGGGCUGUUAAGUCAGCUGUAAAAGGUUGGGGCUCAACCGCAGGAGAGCAGUUGAGACUGGCUGUCUUGAGAUGACGAGAGGUAUGCGGAAUGCGUGGUGUAGCGGUGAAAUGCUUAGAUAUCGCGAAGAACUCCGAUUGCGAAGGCAGCAUACCGGCGGCGCUCUGACGCUGAGGCACGAAAGCGUGGGUAUCGAACAGGAUUAGAUACCCUGGUAGUC